GACGAACGCUGGCGGCGUGCCUAAUACAUGCAAGUAGAACGCUGAAGGAGGAGCUUGCUCUUCUGGAUGAGUUGCGAACGGGUGAGUAACGCGUAGGUAACCUGCCUGGUAGCGGGGGAUAACUAUUGGAAACGAUAGCUAAUACCGCAUAAGAGUAGAUGUUGCAUGACAUUUACUUAAAAGGUGCAAUUGCAUCACUACCAGAUGGACCUGCGUUGUAUUAGCUAGUUGGUGGGGUAACGGCUUACCAAGGCGACGAUACAUAGCCGACCUGAGAGGGGGAUCGGCCAAACUGGGACUGAGGCACGGCCCAGACUCCUACGGGGGGCAGCAGUAGGGAAUCUUCGGCAAUGGACGGAAGUCUGACCGAACACCGCCGCGUGAGGGAAGAAGGUUUUCGGAUCGUAAAGCUCUGUUGUAAGAGAAGAAAGAGUGUGAGAGUGGAAAGUUCACACUGUGACGGUAUCUUACCAGAAAGGGACGGCUAACUACGUG
rnacentral:rRNA from 1 species